rnacentral:misc_RNA from 1 species
GCUGGAUCCCCUCCUUUCUAAGGAAGCGAGCCGCCAUGAGAUGAACUUCGGUUCUCUCUCGGAUCGCUUGUUUGGAACAAUCAGAGCCGAUCGUCAGAUCGGACUCCAUUGGCGAGCGUUCGCCGCCUUCGUUUCUCUUUCGUCUUGGACAAACGCUUCGGUUUGGGCCUGUAGCUCAGGUGGUUAGAGCGCACGCCUGAUAAGCGUGAGGUCGGUAGUUCAACUCUACCCAGGCCCACCAGUCUUGGUGUGGCGGCGGGCAGACUGCCGGCCCUUGGGCUGUGACGCCAGAUCGGCAAGCCAAUUGGGAAUUGGGGCCAUAGCUCAACUGGGAGAGCGGUAGCUUUGCAAGCUUCAGGUCGUCGGUUCGAUCCCGACUGGCUCCACCAGCCUUGCCGUGGCCGAACAGCAGUUAGCAUAGACGUUCUUCGGGAUUAUUUCGGCAUCCUGUUCGACGUUUCCGGUUUGACCAAGAUUGAUGAAGAGAGGCGGCCGCCGUUUGGGGUGACAUAACUCCGGGUGCGCGACGCAAACAGUUUCCGUCUUCCAAAGAAGACGGUUCCGCGGCCUUCUUAUGGUCGCGACGACGACACAUGACAUCGUGAAGAGGAGAUAUGCCGACAUGGCGGAUUUGGCUUCGGGCUGAACCCGUCGGGCACGUUAGCCGCGUGUUGGUUCGGUAUGUUUCGAUACACUGGUCUUUCUGAACAAUGCUGAAUUGCGCGUCGUCCGCUGCCGAGCGGGCGAUGGGUGGGCAUUGUUAAUGAGAGCAAUCAAGUGACCUAAGGGCAUCUGGUGAAUGCCUUGGCGGUAAGAGGCGAUGAAGGACGUGGUACGCUGCGAUAAGCCAUGGGGAGGUGCGAACACCUUUGAUCCGUGGAUGGUCCGAAUGGGGAACCCGGGAAGC